GUGCCAGCAGCCGCGGUAAUACGUAGGUGGCAAGCGUUGUCCGGAUUUAUUGGGCGUAAAGCGAGCGCAGGCGGUUUCUUAAGUCUGAUGUGAAAGCCCCCGGCUCAACCGGGGAGGGUCAUUGGAAACUGGGAGACUUGAGUGCAGAAGAGGAGAGUGGAAUUCCAUGUGUAGCGGUGAAAUGCGUAGAUAUAUGGAGGAACACCAGUGGCGAAGGCGGCUCUCUGGUCUGUAACUGACGCUGAGGCUCGAAAGCGUGGGGAGCAAACAG
rnacentral:rRNA from 1 species